UCCUUUGUCACAGUUGUUAUAACAUAAUCCCAAGGCUUGUAACCUUUACCUUUUAAUCUCUCCAGCUAUCAGAUUCCAACCUAAAUUUAUUCUUUCAAUUUUUUAUAUAUAACAUUUUCAAUACAAAGCCAUCAGUAGGUUGUUUGGGGAUUUAUUUAUUUAUUUAUCUGUCUGUCUGUCUGUGUGUCUGUGUUGGUAUGCUAGGUAUAUGUUGGAAUGUGCAGAGGGAGGAAAACAUAGUAUGUGAGAUCCUAUAAAAGUGGAGAAAAGUGUGGUUGUGAGCUACCUAAUAUGGCCGUAGGGACUGAAUUGAGGUCCUCUGAAAGAACAGACAGGACUACUAGCUAGUCAUCUCUCUAGCUCCUCUCUUUUCUUCUUCUCCUCCUUCUCCUUCUCCUUUUCUCCUUCUCCUUCUCUUCUUCUCCUUCUCUUCUUCUUCUCCUCCUCCUCCUUCUCGUUCUCCUUCUCCUUGUCCUCCUCCUCACCCUCUUCCUCCUCCUCCUCCUCCUUCUUCAAAUAGGCCAAAAGAUCUCACAUCUUGAAACAUUUGACAUGAAAAUGGCUUUCCAGAAGCAAUUCAUAAUCAUGACCUUCCAGGUUCAUAUUUCUUU
rnacentral:lncRNA from 1 species